UAAUACGUAGGGUGCGAGCGUUAAUCGGAAUUACUGGGCGUAAAGCGCGCGCAGGCGGUUGUGCAAGACAGAUGUGAAAUCCCCGGGCUCAACCUGGGAAUUGCAUUUGUGACUGCACGGCUAGAGUGUGUCAGAGGGGGGUAGAAUUCCACGUGUAGCAGUGAAAUGCGUAGAUAUGUGGAGGAAUACCGAUAGCGAAGGCAGCCCCCUGGGAUAACACUGACGCUCAUGCACGAAAGCGUGGGAGCAAACAGGAUUAGAUACCCUGGUAGUCCACGCCCUAAACGAUGUCUACUAGUUGUCGGGUCUUAAUUGACUUGGUAACGCAGCUAACGCGUGAAGUAGACCGCCUGGGGAGUACGGUCGCAAGAUUAAAACUCAAAGGAAUUGACGGGGACCCGCACAAGCGGUGGAUGAUGUGGAUUAAUUCGAUGCAACGCG
rnacentral:rRNA from 1 species